GCUGGUGUCCUUUCCUAGAGAGUGGGGUGAAACUGCCUGGAGAUCCUACAGUGUGCCUAGCACUUCAAAGGAGCUGGAUGUGACGACCCUUGGGGGUCCCUUCCAACUCAGGAUAUUCUGAUUGCUGGACUGCUGCUUACAGCUCUUCACAGCCCUCCUACUUGUUCUUGUUCGCUGCAUCUGUUUGAAAGCGUCUUGAAGAUGAAGUUAUUUCCUGGAGGAAUUCUGGUAUGUUUUUCCCCCAACAGUUCAUCAUUCUUAUCUGCUAUAUUCAUUGUCAGGAAGCAGGUGUUAUUUAUUGUACAUAUACUGA
rnacentral:lncRNA from 1 species